AUGUCAUCAACUACACCUCACAUCUCACUUUGCUCUUACUGUGAACCCAGCCUGCAAACCUCUGGUCUUACUUCUUCACCUUCAACCAGAAAACUCUAUGUGCCAUUUCCGAUUUUACUUCUGAACUAUCAUCACCAUCAUCGUGACUCAGUACCGUCACAAGCACAGAAUCGACCACAUCGUUCUACUCAGCUCAAAGUGGAAAGAUCGGUGAACAGAUGA